ensembl:lncRNA
GGGGUUCCCCCGCCUGCAGGUAAACAAACAAACUAAUCAAUAAAUCAAUAAACAAAAGGUGGAGGGGGUUCCCCCGUCAGUAGGUAAACAAACAAACUAAUCAAUAAAUCAAUAAACAAAAGGUGGAGGGGGUUCCCCCGUCAGUAGGUAAACAAAUAAACUAAUCAAUAAAUAAAUAAACAAAGGGAGGGGGUCCCCCCGCCUGCAGGUAAACAAACUAAUCAAUAAAUAAAUAAACAAAGGGAGGGGGUUCCCCGCCUGCAGGUAAACAAACCGAUCACUAUAGGAAAGCACCUACUUGAGGCCCUGGUCCGUCUCCCCGUAGUCGUCCAGGUACGGAGGAGGAUAGAAGCAGCCCUUUGUUUUACCUGCUACAAACAGCACCUGACUUUCUCUUACCCUGCACGCAACACACACAGACACACACACAGACACACAGUCAGAGUGUGUACAGUGUACAGUGUGUAGUGUGUGCAUCUGCAGUAGAGCACAGGGCCCCGUUCCUCGUACGUGGCUAGCUGCGUUAGCCGGAUAAGAUGACAAGGAUCAGGCUUUUCGGUUCAAAUCACCACAGCAACACAUCCACAAACUUGAACCUGCUCCGGCGCAGCUUCAUUUGAGCGGCUGGAUUAAUUCGCCACUCCCCCGGAAAACAAGGCAGCUCUCUUCCUCACUGAUAAAGGGAAGCCGCUGCAUGUUGUGUUCUUCAUAAAGUUCAGUUGGUUUAUUUGACACUUUUCAUGUUCCACGUUUCACUGCUUCAAUUGAUCAAAUGUCUGAUGACACACUGAUUCGCC